rnacentral:rRNA from 1 species
CGUCAAAUCAUCAUGCCCCUUAUGUUCUGGGCUACACACGUACUACAAUGGCGAUUAACAACGGGAAGCUAAGCCGCGAGGUGGAGCAAAUCCCCAAAAAUCGUCCCAGUUCGGAUUGUAGGCUGAAACUCGCCUGCAUGAAGUUGGAAUUGCUAGUAAUCGCGGAUCAGCAUGCCGCGGUGAAUACGUUCCCGGGCCUU